GGCUCAGGCUGGAUCACCUCCUUACGGUUUGAUCCUGCUAAUACCGGAUAAUUCUUUCCCUCACAUGAGGGAAAGCUGAAAGAUGGUUUCGGCUAUCACUUACAGAUGGGCCCGCGGCGCAUUAGCUAGUUGGUGAGGUAACGGCUCACCAAGGCAACGAUGCGUAGCCGACCUGAGAGGGUGAUCGGCCACACUGGGACUGAGACACGGCCCAGACUCCUACGGGAGGCAGCAGUAGGGAAUCUUCCGCAAUGGACGAAAGUCUGACGGAGCAACGCCGCGUGAGUGAUGAAGGUUUUCGGAUCGUAAAACUCUGUUGUUAGGGAAGAACAAGUACCGGAGUAACUGCCGGUACCUUGACGGUACCUAACCAGAAAGCCACGGCUAACUACGUGCCAGCAGCCGCGGUAAUACGUAGGUGGCAAGCGUUGUCCGGAAUUAUUGGGCGUAAAGCGCGCGCAGGCGGUUCCUUAAGUCUGAUGUGAAAGCCCCCGGCUCAACCGGGGAGGGUCAUUGGAAACUGGGGAACUUGAGUGCAGAAGAGAAGAGUGGAAUUCCACGUGUAGCGGUGAAAUGCGUAGAGAUGUGGAGGAACACCAGUGGCGAAGGCGACUCUUUGGUCUGUAACUAGUCCACGCCGUAAACGAUGAGUGCUAAGUGUUAGAGGGUUUCCGCCCUUUAGUGCUGCAGCAAACGCAUUAAGCACUCCGCCUGGGGAGUACGGCCGCAAGGCUGAAACUCAAAGGAAUUGACGGGGGCCCGCACAAGCGGUGGAGCAUGUGGUUUAAUUCGAAGCAACGCGAAGAACCUUACCAGGUCUUGACAUCUCCUGACAACCCUAGAGAUAGGGCGUUCCCCUUCGGGGGACAGGAUGACAGGUGGUGCAUGGUUGUCGUCAGCUCGUGUCGUGAGAUGUUGGGUUAAGUCCCGCAACGAGCGCAACCCUUGAUCUUAGUUGCCAGCAUUCAGUUGGGCACUCUAAGGUGACUGCCGGUGACAAACCGGAGGAAGGUGGGGAUGACGUCAAAUCAUCAUGCCCCUUAUGACCUGGGCUACACACGUGCUACAAUGGAUGGUACAAAGGGCUGCGAGACCGCGAGGUUAAGCGAAUCCCAUAAAACCAUUCUCAGUUCGGAUUGCAGGCUGCAACUCGCCUGCAUGAAGCCGGAAUCGCUAGUAAUCGCGGAUCAGCAUGCCGCGGCGAAUCUGUUCCCGGACCUCGUCCUUAGAGUUUGAUCCUGCCUCAGGCUGGAUCACC
rnacentral:rRNA from 2 species